AUAAGCAAGAAUUUAAUUUUGGUUCCGAUUGAACGCUUUCCAGUAGUUUAAGGCAUGCAAAUUUAUUUUUAACAACAGUUAAAAAAGUGUAGGGGUGAGGAUAUUAAAUAAGAUACACUAUAAUCUUCAGAAAUAGAAGAUAUAAAAAAGGAAUUUUUCUGUUAUAGAAUUCUAUUUAAUUCGAUUAGGUAGUUGAUGGGGUAAAAGCCUACCAAGCCGACGAUCGAUAGCCAUGUUUGACAGAUCAAAUGGCCACAUUGGGAAUGAGAUAUCCCAAGUAGAGUACUCUACCAGCAGUCGAGAAUAUUAGUCAAUGCUCGCAAGAGUGAACUAGCUAACUGGAAUCACGAAUGUGUCAUUUGUGAUAACGUAAAGGAAAAAUAAUGAUGUCACUUUACUAUUAGUGUUGUCAAAAUCUGGUGCCAGAAGACUCGGUAAGGCCAGAGACGCAAGCGUUAGUCAUCUUGAUCAGGCGUAAAGGGUGUGUAGGCGGCUUUAAAAAAAUAAUAAUUAAAGCUAGAAUCAAAUAGAGGUCACCGUGAGAGAACACUUAGUGUAGGGCUGAUAUCUGUAAAUACUUAGUGGAAUUCUAAUUAGCGAAGGCUCUUUUCCAAAUAAUGAUUGACGCUGAGAAACGAAGGGGAGGAACGACAAUAGGAUUAGAUACCCUGGCAUCCCUCUCUGUCAACGAUGAAUGGUAGUUGCUAGUUCUAAUGAGUUAGUGGCGAUGUAAACACGUUAACCAUUCCGCCUUGUGAGUACAAUUGCAAAGUUGAAAACAAAAAAAUUAGUCGGUUUCGGAGCAAACGAAGUGAAGCAUGUUAUUUAAUACGAUACCCCGCGUAAAACCUUACCAGUUCUUGUAUAACAAACUUUCUUAUUUUAAUUAAAAUUAAUAUUUGAAAGGGAUAGUUUAUUUUUUUUUAAUAAAUUUUUCUAGUUACAGGUGUUGCAUGGCUGUCGUCAGUCCGUAUUUUGAGAAGUGAGGUUAAUUCCGCUAACGGACGAAAUCCCUGUAUUUAAUUUAUACUUAAUUAUUAAUGAUUCUGAUAGAGUUUCAUUUGGGGCUAAGACAAGUCGUUAUGGCUCUCAUGAACUGGGCUAUAGACGUGCCGCAAAAACUUUUACAAAGUGACGCAAAACCACCUGAAAACUUUUAAAUAUAUCAUUUUUCCCUGAAGGCGGCCUGACUCUCUCACAAAGUGAGUCAUCGCCCGCAACAUUUUCGCUAAUUAUUACUAACAUUAGUGAAUAAAAAAAAAUUUUUUUAGAGUUUCUUACAGGUAUCAGGAAGAGCUAAUCAUAAAAGAAAGUUAAAAUAUACACUUUUUCAACCGAAUUGUCAUCUGCAAUUCGAUGACAUGAAGAAGGAAUUUCGAGUAAUCGUUGAUCACUAGGCGCAACGGUGAAUGUGGAAUCCGUGAUGAACUAACUGUCUGUCGCUGGGAAGAAGUUUGGGUAGGAGGAAAAUGGGGCGAAGUUACAUCUUUUUCAAGAGACUGUUUAAAUAAUUUGUAACUUAUUAUUGAGCGAAUAUUUUUGAAAUAAAAAAUUUAACUUAUUAUUAGACAUCUUUUGUUAAGCUAAUUAGCCUUUUUUAAUCAACUUGGAUAACAUUUCAAAAGUCAUAGCAAGGUAGCCGUACCGGAAGGUGCUGCUGGAAAUUAAACAUA
rnacentral:rRNA from 1 species